rnacentral:rRNA from 1 species
GUGGGGAAUAUUGCACAAUGGGGGAAACCCUGAUGCAGCAACGCCGCGUGAGUGAAGAAGUAUUUCGGUAUGUAAAGCUCUAUCAGCAGGGAAGAAAAUGACGGUACCUGACUAAGAAGCCCCGGCUAACUACGUGCCAGCAGCCGCGGUAAUACGUAGGGGGCAAGCGUUAUCCGGAUUUACUGGGUGUAAAGGGAGCGCAGGCGGUGCGGCAAGUCAGAUGUGAAAACCCGGGGCUCAACCCCGGGACUGCAUUUGAAACUGUCGGACUAGAGUGCUGGAGAGGUAAGUGGAAUUCCUAGUGUAGCGGUGAAAUGCGUAGAUAUUAGGAGGAACACCAGUGGCGAAGGCGGCUUACUGGACGGUAACUGACGCUGAGGCUCGAAAGCGUGGGGAGCAAACAGGAUUAGAUACCCCGGUAGUCC